GCCCGGAUGGUGAAAUUGGUAGACACAAGAGACUUAAAAUCUCUCGAUCGGUUACGAUCGUGCCGGUUCGAUUCCGGCUCCGGGCA
rnacentral:tRNA from 1 species